CAAGUACUCCCUCCGUCCGGAAUUACUUGUCAUCAAAAUGGAUGUGUCUAGAACUAAAAUACAUCUAUAUACAUCCAUUUCAAUGACAAGUAUUUUCGGACGGAGGGAGCACAAG
rnacentral:pre_miRNA from 1 species